GAUCAUGGCUCAGGACGAACGCUGGCGGCGUGCUUAACACAUGCAAGUCGAACGAGAAUCACUGGAAGGAGUUUUCGGACAACGGAAGGUGAGGACAGUGGCGGACGGGUGAGUAACGCGUGAGGAACCUGCCUUUCAGAGGGGGACAACAGUUGGAAACGACUGCUAAUACCGCAUGACACAUAGAGACCGCAUGGUUUUUAUGUCAAAGAUUUAUCGCUGAAAGNUGGCCUCGCGU
rnacentral:rRNA from 1 species